GAACUCCACAUACGCAUCCUUUGCUGAGGAUACGGUUAACGGAGCGAAAGCGACGUUCAACCGCAAAAGAAGCAGAGGGGGCUUAGUGGUGGGGUGACUGCGUACCUUUUGUAUAAUGGGUCAGCGACUUAUAUUCUGUAGCAAGGUUAACCGAAUAGGGGAGCCGGAGGGAAACCGAGUCUUAAUUGGGCGUUAAGUUGCAGGGUAUAGACCCGAAACCCGGUGAUCUAGCCAUGGGCAGGUUGAAGGUUGGGUAACACUAACUGGAGGACCGAACCGACUAAUGUUGAAAAAUUAGCGGAUGACCUGUGGCUGGGGGUGAAAGGCCAAUCAAACCGGGAGAUAGCUGGUUCUCCCCGAAAGCUAUUUAGGUAGCGCCUCGUGAAUUCAUCUCCGGGGGUAGAGCACUGUUUCGGCUAGGGGGCCAUCCCGGCUUACCAACCCGAUGCAAACUGCGAAUACCGGAGAAUGUUAUCACGGGAGACACACGGCGGGUGCUAACGUCCGUCGUGAAGAGGGAAACAACCCAGACCGCCAGCUAAGGUCCCAAAGUCAUGGUUAAGUGGGAAACGAUGUGGGAAGGCCCAGACAGCCAGGAUGUUGGCUUAGAAGCAGCCAUCAUUUAAAGAAAGCGUAAUAGCUCACUGGUCGAGUCGGCCUGCGCGGAAGAUGUAACGGGGCUAAACCAU
rnacentral:rRNA from 1 species